rnacentral:rRNA from 1 species
AGUGAACGCUGGCGGUAGGCCUAACACAUGCAAGUCGAACGGCAGCACAGUAAGAGCUUGCUCUUACGGGUGGCGAGUGGCGGACGGGUGGGGAAUACAUCGGAAUCUACUUUUUCGUGGGGGAUAACGUAGGGAAACUUACGCUAAUACCGCAUACGACCUACGGGUGAAAGCCGGGGAUCUUCGGACCUUGCGCGAUUGAAUGAGCCGAUGUCGGAUUAGCUAGUUGGCGGGGUAAAGGCCCACCAAGGCGACGAUCCGUAGCUGGUCUGAGAGGAUGAUCAGCCACACUGGAACUGAGACAUGGUCCAGACGCCUAAGGGAGGCAGCAGUGGGGAAGAUUGGACAAUGGGCGCAAGCCUGAGCCAGCCAUACCGCGUGGGUGAAGAAGGCCUUCGGGUUGUAAAGCCCUUUUGUUGGGAAAGAAAAGCAGCAGGUUAAUACCCCGCUGUUCUGACGGUACCCAAAGAAUAAGCACCGGCUAACUUCGUG